rnacentral:lncRNA from 1 species
AGUAAAGUGUAAAAUGGAAAUUAUGAAAACAGCACUGCAGGUCUAAUAAGAUUCGUAAUAAUAACAAAUAGUCAGCAGUUGCUUAGGGGGCACCUUCUACGCCUUUAAUAUGACGGUCGGUGAGAGCACUGAAGAGUUACUGAAGGAGCACGUGAGUAGAGGGUGGCCGGGUUCUUGAUUGUCUGCUCUUAAUCCUAAGGGAGGGGAGAGCAAGAAUGCAAUCCAAAUGGGGUGCAGCGGCCCGAAGAGGCUGAGGAGCUUUGUAGAUCCUGUUGGCCUUGGACGCUCUGUCUACCUGCUACCGAUACUGGAAAGAGUUCCGCUCUUAGCGUCCACUGUGAAGAAGAGAGGCCACCCUCCCAGGUGCUGUGAGCUUGCAGCUCAUGUUUUCCUGGACGGCCUUGUUCUACACUUUCAAAGAAUGGCAACAGCAUGCUCUCCUCUCGUGAACUUGCGGGGGGCAGAGGGGAGGUGGGGGAACUACACCUGGUAAGCCGAAUGCUUGCUUCAUUUUGAAUGCUUGCUUCAUUUUCGUUUGUCUGAAACGUGACCCAAACCCCUGAGGCCAGCUGUUGCUCAGUGUGGCAGUCUGAGAUCAGUGAGUUCUUGUGACACUUAAUAACUCCCAAGAAGCACAGCUGGGAGAGCCAGAAGGCACAGUGAAGACACCGAUUCUUUGGCUGGACUAUGUGAACUGAGAGAAGCCCACGCAGUUCAUCUAAACCUACACCAUAGCUUCUGAAGACGCUGUUCACCAGCCCAGACACAAGUGUCAUCCCGUAUUCAUCUUUGUGUGCUGGAGGAAACAGAGAGAGCGGGAGGGCGGAGAGAACACAGAGCUCUCUGUUGCGCCCCACACUGUGCCAUGGGGACUUCUUUCUUGUCUGGGU